AUUGAACGCUGGCAGCAUGCUUUACACAUGCAAGUCGAACGGCAGCGCGGGCUUCGGCCUGGCGGCGAGUGGCGAACGGGUGAGUAAUACAUCGGAACGUGCCCAGUAGUGGGGGAUAGCCCGGCGAAAGCCGGAUUAAUACCGCAUACGACCUGAGGGUGAAAGCGGGGGACCGAAAGGCCUCGCGCUAUUGGAGCGGCCGAUGUCGGAUUAGCUAGUUGGUGGGGUAAAGGCUUACCAAGGCGACGAUCCGUAGCUGGUCUGAGAGGACGACCAGCCACACUGGGACUGAGACACGGCCCAGACUCCUACGGGAGGCAGCAGUGGGGAAUUUUGGACAAUGGGGGCAACCCUGAUCCAGCCAUGCCGCGUGCGGGAAGAAGGCCUUCGGGUUGUAAACCGCUUUUGUUCGGGAAGAAAUCCUCUGGGCUAAUACCCCGGGGGGAUGACGGUACCGGAAGAAUAAGCACCGGCUAACUACGUG
rnacentral:rRNA from 1 species